GGACAGUGGGAUGGAGCCAGAAACCUGUGGCUGCAAAUCCACUUGUUUCACACUGAUGCACCAAUUGCCUCUGGCAUGAAUUUCAUUUCAAGGCUAAAAUCCGUCCUGAUGUGCUGAAGUAAUUUUGGCUGUUGGAGCGACAGGUACGAUACAGGGCUGCAAGCAAUACUGGAGGCUAAUUUGGGCACCACAGUUUUCUUACACAGAAAAAAGAAAAUGUGUGAAGAUUGCAAUGGAUUGCAAUGGAUAUUAGCAUUUGGUCUCCUCACAUGACCAAUAAAUGGUUCAAUGCACACACACUACAUUUUUAUCCUGCUUCUUCCCAUAAUGACUGAGAAGGUUCUCUUUCCACCCCUGGUAAUUCAGGAUGCCUGGAAGAAUCUUUCUGUCCCAAAGGAUGGAUUACCAACUGGGAAAUGUUCCAGGGAGUGCAGGCCAGCAGUGAGUGUGAAAGCCUCCUACAAAAAUGUUGCUCUGUUUCCUACCUGGUACUGAGAGCAGGGAUAGACAAAUCCAUCAGUUUUACUUUUCCUCACAUUCAAUUAAAAAAAUCAAGUUAUUUCUCUACUCUUGAUGAAGAAAUUCAGUGAGCUCUUAUUGAACAACAAACCCACCUGCACCAAAUUCAAUAGAUCCAGCUAUUCCAAGCAUGGAGAUUAUUAAGUUGUACCUGCUUUUCAGGUACCAGUUAAAGGUGAGAAAAAAGAAGCUGGAGAGCCUGAUUCAGCACCACAAACAGGUUGACUUCCCAAGGAUUCAAACACAGCUUUUCAAGAAAUAAAUGCUCAAAACACUUUGCUUGGAUUGAUGAUGCUUCCAGUUUCAGUUUUUCUCACAUUCAUUUUUUUAAUCAAGUUAUUUCCAUCCCAUUUAUGAAGGUAUUUGUUCAAAAAACUAAGCAGACAAUAUAGUCAUCACUAAAAUGGAGAUGGUAGAACCUAGGGCCAUCUACCACUAUGCACAGCUUUGGGGGAGAUGCUACCUAGCCAUGGGAAUAAACCUUGCAAGUAACUUCUCCAAGAUCGUACACAAGUGUAUGGGUGGGGUAGAAAAAAAUGUGAAAAAGCACAAGCCCAGAACCUCUCAAGUGGUCUGAUCCUCAUGAUAAAUUAGGCAGUGUUUCUUCAGUUAGUUCAGUAAGAGCAGCUAAACUGUCCCAGCCUGAAUCUUGCUAUAGCCGUAACGGAUGCACCUGCCCCCCUUCUGACCUGGUUCAAUUCAGCUUUCCAUCUAGGCUUGUGUCUGGCAGGACUUCUGUGUUGUGCCACCAUGGGAGCAGCUUUCCUGGCCAUGAAGAUACACAGAUGGGAAACCGCUUUACCUGUGAAAUUGCUGCCUUUCCUCCUGCUUGUUACAGGCUCAGAAAAAAGAUGGAAACAUAUCUGAGAAGGCUGAAACAUUUCUAUAAUUUGUUGCAUGUCACAAUUGGUUCUCAUCAGGAGAAUCUGUAGCAAUGUAGAGGGACUGUAACUCAGCAGAGGCAGGUGUAAACAGCUGCCAGUUAAAUCAAUAAUAUUCAGAUGGCAUGAAUUAAUUACAAUUGAGCCACUAUUGAUUUUUUUUGCACUCAAGACAAGGAUAUAUUCAUAAAAUUAAAUUAAAGAAAAACUAUCCAUUGCUUGGAGGAAGCUCCUCAGUUGUUUGAGAAAGUUCUGAGGGACACUGGGAAGGCAGAAUUUCCUUCUGACAGAUUACAGCAGCUUUCCAUGGUUGUUUCUAUGCAGAUGCUUUGGACUGCAAAAGAAGUAGCAGGAGUUGCAGUCCAAAACAUCUAGAGCAUUUCAAGUUGGAGAAAGAUGGACAACAGUAUUCCUUAUUUGUUUCAUAUAUUUAUCUCCUGCCUUUUUCCUGCUAAGGUGGCUUACAAAUUUCUCUCCAUUUUAUUUGCACAACACCACCAUGAAGUAGGUUAAAAUGAGAAUCAAUGACUAGGCCAAAGUUACCCAGUGAACUUUGUAGCCAAGUGGAAGCUAGAACUCAGAUCUCCUGGGUCCCAAUCCGGCAUUCCAGCCACUCCACCACACUGGUUGCGUUGUCAUCGUCAGUCCUUUUAAGAUGACAAACGAGAUGAUUAAUGCAUGGAGGCAAGUGGGGUGGGGAAAUUACACCCAGUAGCCUCCCCUGCAACCUUUGUGUGCUUGCAUGGAGGUGGUGCCAGGUUAGCCCAGCGUGUGUGACCCCACUGCUUUCUUCUGCUCCUACCCACUCAUUCUUCAGAGCUGUCGUGAGGGCUAUUGGUUACAGCGCCAUUUAUGAGCCAAGCCACACAUUACAUUAAGCUCACAGUUUGCUGAUGAGUAUAUGUAGGUGUGUGUUGUCUUUUACAAACAGCUGCUGCAGAGACUUGGCCAGAACAGGGGCUGUGCCUGUGAGGAGGGGCCAAAUUCACUUUCCUCCCAUGCUGCAGCAUCAAGAUCAAUCACUCCCACCUCCAAAACCACAAUUUAGAUCAAUAAGUCAGUUUCCAUUGGUGCAGCAGUAGCUUUCCAUGGGAAACUGCAGCUCUGAGGGAUGGAGGAGAGGCAGCUUGGGGCAGGACCAAGACACGAAAGAAUGUCCACAGUCCCAACACUGAUGUUCUUUUAAAAGAAAACAGCUUUCACGUGUGCUCAUGCACACAUUAAAAAUGCACAAGCAAACACUGGCACCAGUCAGUGAGAGGGCUGGCCAGCGUUAAAGGGACAGAGUUCUCAGGGACAGAGUCUUCAGAGCUUGGGUGAGAUGGAGAAAUAGCUGGCAACUGCGACAUCUACUGCACUACCUGGUCUGUGCUAGGAGCUGGGUUGUGUCACAUCAGCCUCUGGUGGGCACCACGAAACCUCUAGACUGGCUGAGCCUGGUAUAAAGAACUGCAGUCUAGUCUCUUGCCCUUGCCUGCUCAACAGUGGCCUCUCUAUCUGCUACACUUCAGCCUCCUGGCUUCUAGCCCAGAAUCCAACCAUAGUUGGCAGAUCU
rnacentral:lncRNA from 1 species